CCUACGGGUGGCAGCAGUGGGGAAUAUUGCACAAUGGGGGAAACCCUGAUGCAGCGACGCCGCGUGAGUGAAGAAGUAUUUCGGUACGUAAAGCUCUAUCAGCAGGGAAGAAAAUGACGGUACCUGACUAAGAAGCCCCGGCUAACUACGUGCCAGCAGCCGCGGUAAUACGUAGGGGGCAAGCGUUAUCCGGAUUUACUGGGUGUAAAGGGAGCGUAGACGGCAGCGCAAGUCUGGAGUGAAAUCCCAUGGCUUAACCAUGGAACUGCUUUGGAAACUGUGCAGCUAGAGUGCAGGAGAGGUAAGCGGAAUUCCUAGUGUAGCGGUGAAAUGCGUAGAUAUUAGAAGGAACACCAGUGGCGAAGGCGGCUUACUGGACUGUAACUGACGUUGAGGCUCGAAAGCGUGGGGAGCAAACAGGAGUAGAUACCCGAGUAGUC
rnacentral:rRNA from 1 species